AUUGAACGCUGGCGGCAGGCCUAACACAUGCAAGUCGAGCGAGCGGCGGACGGGUGAGUAAUGUCUGGGCAACUGCCUGAUGGAGGGGGAUAACUACUGGAAACGGUAGCUAAUACCGCAUACCAUCAGAUGUGCCCAGAUGGGAUUAGCUAGUAGGUGGGGUAACGGCUCACCUAGGCGACGAUCCCUAGCUGGUCUGCGAGGAUGACCAGCCACACUGGAACUUAGACACGGUCAAGACUCCUACGGGAGGCAGCAGUGGGGAAUAUUGCACAAUGGGCGCAAGCCUGAUGCAGCCAUGCCGCGUGUGUGAAGAAGGCCUUCGGGUUGUAAAGCACUUUCAGCGGGGAGGCGUUACUCGCAGAAGAAGCACCGGCUAACUCCGUGCCAGCAGCCGCGGUAAUUC
rnacentral:rRNA from 1 species